CUGAAUUACUGGGAACCUUAAGCAAAAGCAGACGUAUAUGUAUGUAUGUAUAUAUGUUUAUUGGUUAUGUGACAAACGAGAUGCAACAAACGAAGCGCUUGGAACACAAACGCUGCUUAUUGAGUCUUAUAAGGAUUGGACCAAUGCUGUUGUGAGCAAGCAAAUUCACCAAGAAAACCCCACCGAAAAUAAACAAAAUUCUAGAAUUAUAUAUUUGUUCGUUGUUGCAUUAGACAGACUAUUUUUUAGCAUUCUAGAUUUCGUCAUGCAAAAGAAGUUGAGCAAUUAAAAUGCAGCAAUUGUAUAAAAAAAUAUUCGGAUUUACUGCCUUUAAUUCUGCAAGCCAUGCAUUUAUUAGACGCCUUUGCAAAAAACGUGAGAACAAAAAACAUUUCAAAACCGUCAAGUAGGUGUCAUUCUUGCUGUCGAAUUUUCACAAUCCGGAGCACUUUUUUAUCAAUUCGCACAGGCCCUAAAAUGGUCAUUACGAAAUCAAAAUCAGCCAAAGCAUGAACGGUGGAAUAUGCACCGGCUGUAGCCAACAACUAAGCUAUGGCUGCCGCUCUGGCUAAGUACCACCAAAUUUGGUAAUCGCCCAAAGGGCAUUUAAUAAACCGAAAUAUCGAAGAAAGCGUCUACGGAAAUGCGUUAAUUGUGCCUUUAAGGCCGCAGGAGGAAUCAGCGUCGACUGCUUGUGCAACAUAGACACUACCGCGGACACAAAAAGCGAAGCAGGAAGACUGAUGCUGCGUCCGGGUAAAUCUUUCUGUAAGUUGCUCUUCAACCGUCCCGUAACUGUUGAUGGGCGCGACAAUCAGAU